rnacentral:rRNA from 1 species
UUCGAUGCAUAGCGAAGAACCUUACCUACUCUUGACAUCCAGAGAACUUUCCAGAGAUGGAUUGGUGCCUUCGGGAACUCUGAGACAGGUGCUGCAUGGCUGUCGUCAGCUCGUGUUGUGAAAUGUUGGGUUAAGUCCCGCAACGAGCGCAACCCUUAUCCUUGUUUGCCAGCGAGUAAUGUCGGGAACUCCAGGGAGACUGCCGGUGAUAAACCGGAG